GGAUAUUCUCAAUCUGCAUUGAGAAUAUCGUAUUGGUGCAUUAGACAAAGCCUUUUAUGGUUGUUUCUCGCCAUACUGGCUAGGGACGAGCCAUUGGUUGAUUCUAUCCAAUGGUUAUGUGUAUUUGGUGUCACGUGGUCGUGAGUCAGGUCCGUGCAGCGCUGAGUGUGGACAGUGACACAACACGUUACAUACUUACGACUUGCAGUUGCCUUUUCCUUUUCCUGAGCCUUUCGUUAUCUUCAGACUUCCUUUUGGCACUUACAGGAUGAAGCCCACGUACAUGUAAUAGUGUUAUCAUCCUAUACGGUUCAUCGCCCACAGCGAAGAACCACGCGUAUGGUGUGAUCGAGAGAAUAAACCCUCGAACCCU
rnacentral:lncRNA from 1 species